UACGUAGGGUGCGAGCGUUAAUCGGAAUUACUGGGCGUAAAGCGUGCGCAGGCGGUUGGACAAGACAGAGGUGAAAUCCCCGGGCUUAACCUGGGAACGGCCUUUGUGACUGUACGGCUAGAGUGUGUCAGAGGGGGGUAGAAUUCCACGUGUAGCAGUGAAAUGCGUAGAGAUGUGGAGGAAUACCGAUGGCGAAGGCAGCCCCCUGGGAUAACACUGACGCUCAUGCACGAAAGCGUGGGGAGCAAACAGGAUUAGAAACCCCAGUAGUCC
rnacentral:rRNA from 1 species